AAUGGGUUAGGUUAGGUUUGACUGUCUGUUUUCAAAACAGAGGGGGACUCUUUUAAGGUUGCCCGUUG